GUCAUGUUUUCCUCAAUAUUUAUAUAAUAGUUAACUGUGGUAAUAGUUUUUAUUGUGUUAUAUUAAGUUAAAUGUAAGGUGCUGUAUUCAAUCAGUCUCACAUGUGAAGGUCGCAGCUAUCUAGAAAAUUACAUAACAUCCUUGGAGCAUGGUCAGUAUUAUCUAUCUGUACGUGUCUCAGCCUCUAUCGAAAUGAGCGCUUGUCACACGUUUGCUGAUACGUCCAACUCAUAUCAAUAUUUUCGGACUACUUCAUCAAUUAUUAUUCAACUUAUGUGGACAUCACUUGGUCAAACUUCUUAGGCAAGCCUUAAUCCCUAUUCUCGGCGCACGAACUCAAAUUUUCUUAUCAAGCUGAUAAUUGAACAUGCAGUAAAUUCGUGACCAUUCAAGGUGUCUAGAGUAUAUAUACUGGCUAGCCCCGGGGGUACCUCACUGUCGAGAAAUCCCCAAUAAAGGGGCUGGCCAUAGACACUUUGUUUGGUUUCUUUGAAGGUGGUGCCCGAUCCCGAGCUAAUUCCCCAAGGCUAAUUCUAGAUAUUGUGACGGUUUGAAUACGAAAGUGUCAAACCAUCAUAAUUAUAACAACGUGCUGUGUUUGGGUCUGAGGAGCUGGCGACGCUGAUAGUGAUUAUAUUAACAUGGGGAAAACGAACAAAGUUUGACAAAUAUGUUAUCACGUUGAAUGCCAUAUAUUAAGAACUUGGAAAUGGUGAAAUAAGGGAAUAUUACAACUAACGACCACGUUCCAUUAUCUUUAGACUUAGAAUGUAAGACGUUAAUAUCUGUAUCUGUAUCAAUCAGAUGUUUAUCAUCCACCCUUAUCAAAUCACACGUACCACGAAAACAUUCGUUGCAUACUAGCAUCGUGUAAACUUUAAUUCUUAUUAAACUUCACUCAGAAACAUCUUUAUCAUCAACACCUCGGUCAAACUAAAUUAUAUAAUUCUGUCUAGAUAGCGCCGCGAAAGUUCGCAAAAACAACUUUAUCGACAGUAAAUGAGACUAUCUGUUAUUCCUAGAAUAGGUAUAAAUACGGACGACAGACAGUCAGAAAUCAGUCUGUGGCUGUCUAAUAAACUGACUGUUUACUCAGGUACGAAACCUUACUAUCUUGUACUAUGUUAAUUCUUAACUAUAUGCCAUUACCCUUGGCAAUACCUGCAAGUUUAAUUGGUAACUGAAAAUGUCAUACUUGUGUGUAUAUCUUAGCUGUUCCCAUUGUACUACUUCUGUGUAUAGAUUAUGCCAAUCAUGUUAGUUUAUCGUUUGGAAUAUGUAUUGUGGCUGAACUGAAUGUAUCUUGUGUGAAUACCCACUCGGGUAAUGUAUAAGUUAGAGUGUGUCGGGUAUAUUAUAUUCAAUCAUAUGUAAACUGUUGUAUUACGUUGUGUACCUUGGAAUAUGUAUCGUGACUUAUGCAGUAUGUAUCUUGUGUAAUGAUUCUAUAUCAUGUUCAUCUGAUGUUCUUCACAUAUAUGUACUUCUAUUACUUAUUGUAAACAUUCUCUAAUAAUUGAUUGUAAACAUUUCUAUUUGACUGAUUAUGUAUAAGAUUCUGUCGCUGUCUAAUAAACUGACUGUCUAUUCA